rnacentral:rRNA from 1 species
GACAGAGGAGCCAAGCGUUGUCCGGAUUGACUGGGCGUAAAGCGCACGCAGGCGGCUGUGCACGUGGGGUGUGAAAGCUGGCGGCUUAACUGCCAGACGCCACCUCAUACGGCACGGCUCGAGCCCGUGAGAGGUCCACGGAAUUGCCGGUGUAGUGGUGAAAUGCUUAGAUAUGACAUAGAACACCCAUUGCGAAGGCAGCUUACUACACGAUCAUUGACGCUGAGGCACGAAAGCGUGGGGAGCAAACAGG